UACAGAGGGUGCGAGCGUUGUUCGGAAUUAUUGGGCGUAAAGCGCUUGUAGGCGCACGUCAAGUCGCGUGUGAAAUCCCCCAGGCUUAACCUGGGGAAGUGCGCGCGAAACUGACGAGCUUGAGUGCCGGGAGAGGGUCGCGGAAUUCCCGGUGUAGAGGUGAAAUUCGUAGAUAUCGGGGAGGAACACCAGUGGCGGAAG
rnacentral:rRNA from 1 species